GACGAACGCUGGCGGCGUGCUUAACACAUGCAAGUCGAACGGAAAGGCCCUGCUUUUGUGGUGUUCUCGAGUGGCGAACGGGUGAGUAACACGUGAGUAACCUGCCCUUGACUUUGGGAUAACUUCAGGAAACUGGGGCUACUACCGUAUAGGAGCUCCUGCUGCAGGGUGGGGGGGGGAAAGUUUCGGCGGUUGGGGAUGGACUCGCGGCUUAUCAGCUUGUUGGUUGGGUAGUGGCUUACCAAGGCUUUGACGGGUAGCCGGCCUGAGAGGGUGACCGGCCACAUUGGGACUGAGAUACGGCCCAGACUGCUACGGGAGGCAGCAGUGGGGAAUAUUGCACAAUGGGCGGAAGCCUGAUGCAGCAACGCCGCGUGCGGGAUGACGGCCUUCGGGUUGUAAACCGCUUUCGCCUGUGACGAAGCGUGAGUGACGGUAAUGGGUAAAGAAGCACCGGCUAACUACGUG
rnacentral:rRNA from 1 species